rnacentral:rRNA from 2 species
GUUUAAUAGAGGUAGAGCACUAAUUGAGCUAGGGCCUGUCAAAGGGUACCAAACUCAGUUAAACUCCGAAUGCUAUUAAAUGAUGAAUAGGAGUGAGACUAUGGGCGAUAAGGUUCAUAGUCGAGAGGGAAACAACCCAGACCAACAGCUAAGGUCUCAAAAAUGUGUUAAGUGGAAAAGGAGGUUUAGGUACGUAAACAGCCAGGAGGUUGGCUUAGAAGCAGCCACACCUUUAAAGAGUGCGUAAUAGCUCACUGGUCGAGUACUUAAGCGCCGAUAAUGUAACGGGGCUAAACACAUUACCGAAGCUUUGGAUCUUAACGAAAGUUAAGAUGGUAGGGGAGCGUUCUGUAAGCCAGAGAAGUUAAACUGAAAAGUUUGAUGGAGGUAUCAGAAGUGAGAAUGCAGGUAUGAGUAACGAAAAAAUGGGUGAGAUCCCCAUUCGCCGAAAACCUAAGGUUUCCUGGGUAAAGGUCGUCUUCCCAGGGUUAGUCGGCCCCUAAGGCAAAGCUGAAAAGUGUAGUCGAUGGGAAACGGGUUAAUAUUCCCGUACCUCUUAUAGUUUCGAUGGAGUGACGCAUGAGGUUAACUACUGCUAGGCGAUGGUUGUCCUAGUUUAAGCAUUAAGGUGAUGAUCUUAAUAGGAAAAUCCGUUAAGAGAGCUAAGAUGUGAUGAUGAGUGCUAUUUAGGUAGCAUGAAAUGUAGGUAGUCAAGGUGCCAAGAAAUAACUUCUAAGGUUAGGC